UACGUAGGGUGCGAGCGUUAAUCGGAAUUACUGGGCGUAAAGCGUGCGUAGGCGGUUCUCCAAGUCCGUUGUGAAAUCCCCGGGCUUAACCUGGGAAUGGCAGUGGAAACUAGGGGACUUGAAUCUGGCAGAGGGGGGUGGAAUUCCACGUGUAGCAGUGAAAUGCGUAGAGAUGUGGAGGAACACCGAUGGCGAAGGCAGCCCCCUGGGCUGAGAUUGACGCUGAGGGCACGAAAGCGUGGGGAGCAAACAGG
rnacentral:rRNA from 1 species